rnacentral:rRNA from 1 species
CAGUCGCCACGGUAAAACGUAGGGUGCAAGCGUUGUCCGGAAUUAUUGGGCGUAAAGAGCUCGUAGGCGGCUUGUCACGUCGGCUGUGAAAACCUGGGGCUCAACCCCGGGCCUGCAGACGAUACGGGCUAGCUAGAAUUCGGUAGGGGAGACUGGAAUUCCUGGUGUAGCGGUGAAAUGCGCAGAUAUCAGGAGGAACACCGGUGGCGAAGGCGGAUCUCUGGGCCGAUAUUGACGCUGAGGAGCGAAAGCGUGGGGAGCGAACAGGAUUAGAUACCCCCGUAGUCCCUGUCUCUUAUAC